CAUAGUAACUCCCCCUGGGUACACUGGAAAGAAAAGAAUGGCAGAACAGUUCUGGAGUCCCAGCAGGGAAACACCGUGAAGACUAAUGACACAUACAUGACAUUCAGCUGGCUGACCGUGAUUAAAAAAUCAAUGGAUAGAGAAUAUGAAUGUGUCGUCACACAUGAGAAUAAUAAAGGAGGGGUGGAUCAAGAGAUUCUUUUUCCUUCAAUUAAAAAAGUGGUCUUUGAUAUUGAUUCUACAGAAAUGUGUCUGAAAGGUACCCUGCAGCUGCAGCUCACCAACACCUCUGCCUACUACACCUACCUGCUCCUCCUCCUCAAGAGCCUCGUCUACUUUGCCGUCGCUGCCGGCUGUCUGCUCGGGAGAACAACCGUCUGCGGCAAUGCAAAGAGUUCAUGAGAGUCCGUGGCAAAGCAAACAAUCUCCCUCUGUACCAACAAAUCUGCCAUUACUCAGGGGCAGGCCCAAAGGUAGUCCUCAGGAGGCUUUAGGGCCACUCUCCCCAGAAUCUCCACCAGCAACUACAGUCCACCCAGAUAAUCAUGCUUUCGGAGCACGGAGCACGCAGCCCCACUCAUCUCCUCCUGCUCCUUAACCGCAGAGCUGCCUUGAGGCUUUCCGUUUCACACACCCUGAAGCUGCCAUCUUUGCUUCUUGAAUCGUGUACUUUGUUUUUUGUAAUAGGUACAAUAAAUUUAAAAAAGGAAAUCAAAAGUC